rnacentral:misc_RNA from 1 species
GAUGAAGAACGUAGUGAAAUGCGAUACUUGGUGUGAAUUGCAGAAUCCCUUGAACCAUCGAGUCUUUGAACGCAAGUUGCGCCCGAAGCCAUUAGGCCGAGGGCACGCCUGCCUGGGCGUCACACGUCGUUGCCCCCCCAUCUACUCCUUCGGGAUUGCGGGGGGCGGAUGAUGGCCUCCCGUGCGCCUCGCCGCGCGGUUGGCAUAAAUGCCAAGUCCUCGGCGACGCACGCCACGACAAUCGGUGGUUGCGAAACCUCGGUUGCCCGUCGUGUGCGGUCGUCGCGCAUCGAGGGCUCGAAAAAAUUGCCGGGUUCCGGCUCGGCUUUCAACGCGACCCCAGGUCAGGCGGGGUUACCCGCUGAAUUUAAGCAUAUCAAUAACGGAGGA